UAAGGGCGCACGGUGGAUGCCUUGGCACUAGAAGCCGAUGAAGGACGUUACUAACGACGAUAUGCUUUGGGGAGCUGUAAGUAAGCUUUGAUCCAGAGAUUUCCGAAUGGGGAAACCCAGCAUGAGUUAUGUCAUGUUAUCGAUAUGUGAAUACAUAGCAUAUCAGAAGGCACACCCGGAGAACUGAAACAUCUUAGUACCCGGAGGAAGAGAAAGAAAAUUCGAUUCCCUUAGUAGCGGCGAGCGAAACGGGAAGAGCCCAAACCAACAAGCUUGCUUGUUGGGGUUGUAGGACACUCUAUACGGAGUUACAAAGGACGACAUUAGACGAAUCAUCUGGAAAGAUGAAUCAAAGAAGGUAAUAAUCCUGUAGUCGAAAAUGUUGUCUCUCUUGAGUGGAUCCUGAGUACGACGGAGCACGUGAAAUUCCGUCGGAAUCUGGGAGGACCAUCUCCUAAGGCUAAAUACUCUCUAGUGACCGAUAGUGAACCAGUACCGUGAGGGAAAGGUGAAAAGCACCCCGGAAGGGGAGUGAAAUAGAACCUGAAACCGUGUGCUUACAAGUAGUCAGAGCCCGUUAAUGGGUGAUGGCGUGCCUUUUGUAGAAUGAACCGGCGAGUUACGAUUUGAUGCAAGGUUAAGCAGUAAAUGUGGAGCCGUAG
rnacentral:rRNA from 1 species